rnacentral:rRNA from 1 species
UACGUAGGGUGCGAGCGUUUGUCCGGAAUUAUUGGGCGUAAAGGGCUCGUAGGCGGUUCGUCACGUCGGGAGUGAAAACUCGGGGCUUAACCCCGAGCCUGCUUCCGAUACGGGCAGACUAGAGGUAGGCAGGGGAGAGCGGAACUCCUGGUGUAGCGGUGGAAUGCGCAGAUAUCAGGAAGAACACCGGUGGCGAAGGCGGCUCUCUGGGCCUUACCUGACGCUGAGGAGCGAAAGCGUGGGUAGCGAACAGG